UUUAUUGAGAGUUUGAUCCUGGCUCAGGAUGAACGCUGGCGGCAUGCCUAAGACAUGCAAGUCGAACGAAGGGGCCCAAUGAAAAGAAUUGAAGUUUGGAGUGCUUGCACAAAGAACGGAUUGAAUUGGAUUUGGAAUUUCCCCUUAGUGGCAAACGGGUGAGUAACACGUGGGUUACCUGCCUCUAAGUUGGGGAUAACAGUUGGAAACGACUGAUAAUACCGAAUGUGCUCUACGGAGUAAAGAAGCCUUUAAAGCUUCGCUUAGAGAUGGACCUGCGGCGUAUUAGCUAGUUGGUGGGGUAAUGGCCUACCAAGGCAACGAUGCGUAGCCGAACUGAGAGGUUGAUCGGCCACACUGGGACUGAGACACGGCCCAGACUCCUAC
rnacentral:ncRNA from 1 species